AUGCAAAUGAGACGGUGGAAAAGGCCGCUUUCUCCAAAGCCCCAGACCGUCCUCCUCGGAACCUGCCGGGGAUUGAAUUCUAGACCCUUUGAAGGUUUCACGCAGAGUCUGCGUCAAGGCUGGUCGGCACCUGGCUGGGUCUGCUGGUGUCUUCAGAUGCUGAGGAGACACCAGCUUUCUAUUAACCUGGGCCCAGUGUCGUUUACAUCUUUGGAAAUGGAGGCAUCUACCAAUGAUUCUCAAAGGCUAAUCCUCAGGCCAGCAGAGUCAGCACCGCUUGAGACACUACUCUGAAAUGAGAACUCUCUGGCUUCACCCAAGACCUCCUGAGUCACAGACUCUGGGGCUGGGACCCAACAACUGGUACUUUCGGAGCCUUCCCGAGGAUUCUCAGGCACGCAUGAGUGUGAGGAGGGCUCCUCCCCAAGGCCUUCUCGCACCCCUGUCUUUUGGCCAGGCUUCCCCUGGACGGUGGGGUGUUCGGCCAUCAUUCAGCAGCGCACCUUGCGUUUCCCGUGCACCCUGAUUGUGGUGCCGUCCGCAACACAGAAGCUGCCACUUCUCACUGCCUUGUGUCAACUGCACACGUAACAGUUCUGCUUCCGUCUUCAUCCAGAGCUCUGACCUGAACGUUGAGUGACACAGACUCCAAAUCAGGACCACACUUCCCUGUAUGCCGUGGGUCUUGCUGUUGCCUGGACCUCUGAGAUGCUCUCAAAGCCCAUCUCCCUCGCUCUGCGACUGCUUUUCCUGGCUACUCCACCAGGGCCUGUAUCUCCACUGACGUGUCAUCUCUUCCCAGAAAACCAGGUUUAGGGCUCGUCACCUGAACCCCCGUGCUGACAGCUAUCAGUGUUUGAUAAUGAUUCCCUUCUUCUGUGAAACACUGGUCCCUGAGCGGGGUGAUUCUGCUCCAGGAGAACGUUUGGCGAUGUCUAGACACAUCUUUUGGAGAAGGAAAUGGCAACCCACUCUAGUAUUCCUGCCUGGAGAAUCCCNNNNNNNNNNNNNNNNNNNNNNNNNNNNNNNACAGGUCGCAAAGAGUCAGACACGACUGAGCGACUUCACUUUCACUUAGACACAUCUUUGGGGGGCUUCCCAGGUGGUGUUAGUGGUAGGAACCCACCUGCCAACGCAGGAGAUAAAAGAGACAUGGGUUUGAUCCCUGGGUUCGGAAGAUCCCCUGAAGGGGGGCAUGGCAACCCACUCCAGUAUUCUUGCUUGGAGAACCCCAUGGACAG
rnacentral:lncRNA from 1 species